rnacentral:rRNA from 1 species
AUUGAACGCUGGCGGCAGGCCUAACACAUGCAAGUCGAGCGGUAGCACAGAGAGCUUGCUCUCGGGUGACGAGCGGCGGACGGGUGAGUAAUGUCUGGGAAACUGCCUGAUGGAGGGGGAUAACUACUGGAAACGGUAGCUAAUACCGCAUAACGUCGCAAGACCAAAGUGGGGGACCUUCGGGCCUCAUGCCAUCAGAUGUGCCCAGAUGGGAUUAGCUAGUAGGUGGGAUAACGGCUCACCUAGGCGACGAUCCCUAGCUGGUCUGAGAGGAUGACCAGCCACACUGGAACUGAGACACGGUCCAGACUCCUACGGGAGGCAGCAGUGGGGAAUAUUGCACAAUGGGCGCAAGCCUGAUGCAGCCAUGCCGCGUGUGUGAAGAAGGCCUUCGGGUUGUAAAGCACUUUCAGCGGGGAGGAAGGCGAUAAGGUUAAUAACCUUGUCGAUUGACGUUACCCGCAGAAGAAGCACCGGCUAACUCCGUGCCAGCAGCCGCGGUAAUACGGAGGGUGCAAGCGUUAAUCGGAAUUACUGGGCGUAAAGCGCACGCAGGCGGUCUGUCAAGUCGGAUGUGAAAUCCCCGGGCUCAACCUGGGAACUGCAUUCGAAACUGGCAGGCUAGAGUCUUGUAGAGGGGGGUAGAAUUCCAGGUGUAGCGGUGAAAUGCGUAGAGAUCUGGAGGAAUACCGGUGGCGAAGGCGGCCCCCUGGACAAAGACUGACGCUCAGGUGCGAAAGCGUGGGGAGCAAACAGGAUUAGAUACCCUGGUAGUCCACGCCGUAAACGAUGUCGAUUUAGAGGUUGUGCCCUUGAGGCGUGGCUUCCGGAGCUAACGCGUUAAAUCGACCGCCUGGGGAGUACGGCCGCAAGGUUAAAACUCAAAUGAAUUGACGGGGGCCCGCACAAGCGGUGGAGCAUGUGGUUUAAUUCGAUGCAACGCGAAGAACCUUACCUGGUCUUGACAUCCACAGAACUUAGCAGAGAUGCUUUGGUGCCUUCGGGAACUGUGAGACAGGUGCUGCAUGGCUGUCGUCAGCUCGUGUUGUGAAAUGUUGGGUUAAGUCCCGCAACGAGCGCAACCCUUAUCCUUUGUUGCCAGCGGUUCGGCCGGGAACUCAAAGGAGACUGCCAGUGAUAAACUGGAGGAAGGUGGGGAUGACGUCAAGUCAUCAUGGCCCUUACGACCAGGGCUACACACGUGCUACAAUGGCAUAUACAAAGAGAAGCGACCUCGCGAGAGCAAGCGGACCUCAUAAAGUAUGUCGUAGUCCGGAUUGGAGUCUGCAACUCGACUCCAUGAAGUCGGAAUCGCUAGUAAUCGUAGAUCAGAAUGCUACGGUGAAUACGUUCCCGGGCCUUGUACACACCGCCCGUCACACCAUGGGAGUGGGUUGCAAAAGAAGUAGGUAGCUUAACCUUCGGGAGGGCGCUUACCACUUUGUGAUUCAUGACUGGGGUG